UCCACCCCCAAAUCUUAUCCCUUCCUUCUGCGCCACCCAAUCCCUCCCUUCCUUCGAGGCCUCCGACCACCAUCCAUGCCUUCCAAGGUCACCCGAGCGCCUCAACCUGCUCUAUGUUAUGGAUCUGUACCCGCUGAACACCAUCAUCCAUGGUUCCUCUGCUAUUGGGACACGACGUCGUCCCAUCUCCGUUCUGGACAUUACCCUACGACACCAACGCUUGGCCUGCUCCUCCACCACGGCCCUGCUCGGACCACACCACCACCGACGCCACCAUUGAGAAUCCACCCCAACUUGAGCAGUUCACCGGCGUCAUUGAGGAAGCACUGAGCUGCUGCAUUGGAAAUACGAGGAACUGUGCAAGAAGCUGAUAUUCACUAGACGGCAAGAAAUAGUCUCAUAUUUUUCUUCCAAGUAGUAUGAACCAUUCCCCACUUUGAUACUUAUGAACACCCAUUUGGUAUAUCCUUUUCCUAGUUACAGUUCAUCCAGAUCAGGAGUAGGAUUUAUGGUUCAUGAUCCAACUAAAAGAGAGGUGUAAUAUCCUCUGCCCUUGACAUGGUACGGUACAUACUGUUAUUUCACUACAUGUCUCCAAAUUCAUGUAUUGAUUAAUUUCGAUUCAAGUUUUCUAUCUCGCAAGAUCAUGCUAUCUUCAGUAUGCUCGAGAACAUCUGAAAUGCACCUAGACGUUAUAUUUCAGAUUAUUGACAAUGAAACUGUACCAGGAAACGCCUAUUACCAACAACUAUGCUCAAGAUAUGAAUGCUCUGUUAUAACAAUUAACAAGACAAAGAUAUGCUCAGGGGCUCCUAUUGUAGGCCAUACUAUAUGUCAUCUUAAUUUAGUUAGUCCUUUUACUACUUGCUUCUUAGAAUUUCUUACUGUCUUAUUAUCUAGUACUUAACAAUUCUUGUGUAUUCCUCAUAUUUAAGCUCACAGUGUUCUUCCUUCUCCCUUAAGUUGUAUUUUGCUUUCGUUCUUAUAUUAAAGAUUGAACAAUUGCAGUGCAAGCACACAAUUGGUUGUUCCUGCUGGAGAAGGUGCACAAUCUUGCCGAGUUGCACACAAUCAAUUAAAAUAGUAUAUUUGUACAUUUUUGGAACUAGUUGAUUGUAGCUCUUAGUUGUACAAGGUGGAUGCAAGUGUCUGGGUGCGAUGACCUGUAGAUAUUGCAUUGCUCUGAAAAUUAUCAAUACAUUGCAUAGAUGAAUGGAUGUCACUCCUUACAUUGUUGUUCUGAACUUCUGUACUAAUUUACUGAAGCAUCAAGUAACAACUGUCCUCUGUUUGGGGUCACCCCUUUCCCUAGUAGUAUUGCAUUCUAUUUCCUUAUGAUUUUUUGAUUGUCUUACUAUCCAUUAGAGUAAGAGUCUGCUCUCUAACUUGUUUGUCCAUACCUUCUUAUUUUAGUCUCUUUCAUUAUGUUUUUUUGGGAAGAAUUAAAUAAAAUUAUCAGUGCAACAUAGAGGUUAAAGCAGGUGGUUGAGCUAUCACUCAAUUUCAAGAAAUUGAAUAAGAUUCUUCCAAAUUAAGUGGAAAUAUUCCCUUUCAUAUUUUGUUGUUCUAUGCACGUGAACCUAGAAAUUAAAUAUUGAUCAACACCUGAUCGAUGUCUUAUUUUGCUAGUUUGCAGUUCAUUCUUAUUAGGAGCAGAAUUUAAGAUUGGGGAUCUAUGAGAGAUGCAAGAGCCUCUAAUCAAGGGUAACCUUGAAGAAAAGCUUGCAACUUAAGCUGCAACAAAAAGAUUUUAGAAAAUGAGAUCUCUUGUGCAUAUUUAGUUGAUGCACUUGUGUGUGUUUAGAUGUUGCAGCUCUGUUUUCAUUGACCUUCGAUUCAUGUACGUAAAUUCUAUGGAACUGUAUCCGAAGACAUGUGAAUUUGUAUCUCUGGUUGAUGGAAACAAUUGAUAGUGAUGUUUCUAUGUUCUAAAUAUCAUGGGUUAUGGAAUAACUAUGUAUAAAACCAUCAAUAUUAUUUUUCUUCAUUGGUUUCUUUUUUUCCUGACGGUUAUGUAUGACAGGGAUAUACUAUUUCCCUGGUUUGCCAAUCCUGAUGCCCAUAUAACCCUGUAGGGCCAAACCCGUCAGGGAAAUAUGGAAACCCGACAGGAAUAUAGUUCCUGUUGGCCAACCGACAGGCAUAGUUUAUUUUCCCUGUCAAGCUAUCCCUGACGGCUAACCCUGAC